rnacentral:sRNA from 1 species
GGAGAGCGCAGCGGUUCUUUGUCAAAAUUGGAGGAUCGCCCGAAAGGUAUCCUUAGCCCAACAACAUGGCGAAUUGAUCACGCAUAAUCGAUUCAGGUAGCUAGGAGCUGGCUUGGGAAAUUUGAACAGCGCGGAUAAGUGGAAUGUAAGCGGUUAGCUGACGGCGUCUGACCUGAAGUUCCAGGGCAUGAGAGCUUCGAUUUCGGAUGCGGGCCAGCCUUGAGCGAUGCGGGUCAAGGUCUGCGAGAGCCAGUCGAGCGGAUCGACGCCGUUCAUUUUGCAGGUCUGCAACAAGGUGGCCACCGCCGCCCAAGUUCGUCCACCGCCCUCGCUGCCGGCGAAUAGGCUAUUCUUUCUCGUAAUCGUUUGGGGCCUGAUCGCCCGUUCGACGAUGUUGGAGUCGA